UACGUAGGGGGCAAGCGUUAUCCGGAUUUACUGGGUGUAAAGGGAGCGUAGACGGCAGCGCAAGUCUGGAGUGAAAUGCCGGGGCUCAACCCCGGAACUGCUUUGGAAACUGUGCAGCUAGAGUGCGGGAGAGGUAAGCGGAAUUCCUAGUGUAGCGGUGAAAUACGUAGAUAUUAGGAGGAACACCAGUGGCGAAGGCGGCUUACUGGACCGUAACUGACGUUGAGGCUCGAAAGCGUGGGGAGCAAACAGG
rnacentral:rRNA from 1 species